GGACUACUGGGGUAUCUAAUCCUGUUCGCUCCCCACGCUUUCGCUCAUCAGCGUCAGUACCGGCCCAGACCACCGCCUUCGCUGCUGGUGUUCCUCCUGAUAUCUGCGCAUUUCACCGCUACACCAGGAAUUCCGUGGUCCCCUACCGGACUCUAGUCACGACAGUAUCGAGUGGCGGCCCCAGGUUGAGCCUGGGGGUUUCACACCCGACUUAUCGAACCGCCUACGAGCCCUUUACGCCCAAUGAAUCCGGACAACGCUUGCACCCUACGUAUUACCGCGGCUGCUGGCAC
rnacentral:rRNA from 1 species